rnacentral:lncRNA from 1 species
GACUGACCUGCUCCAGCUGGGACUUAACUGUGAAUGUUUGGGAAUAGAAUCCAGUUGGCCAGGUUUGGAUCAGAUGCCUUUCCCUGAUCCCAUUGCUUUGCCGGGUAGGAAGGCUCUCAUCCCUAUAGAUCAAGGGGCAGUUUCCAGAGGAAAGAGCAGUCGUUGUGAACAGCGCUGAUGCUAGAAGAACAUCCACAGCUCUGGUACGUUGGGACCUUCUCAACAACAGUGUUAGUGUCAGUGGAUGGACUUCAGUGCUCAGUGGGAGACAGCAGCAGGAGCCAGAGGAGGCAGCGGGACUUGCUCAGCAGACGCAAACAUACUCAGAAGGAGGGGAAGUCACAUUCAUCAAACGCUUUUGGGCCCUAAGGCAGCUGAGGUACCUAAAGAACACAGCAUCGUAGCCCAGACCGACCCUGAGCUAACAUCUGUGUCCAUCUUCUUCCUCGUUUUUAUAUGUGGGAUGCCUGCCACAGCGUGGCUCAACAAGCAGUGCAUAAGUCCACACUCAGGAUCCAAACUGGCGAAACCUGGGCCACGGAAGCAGAACAUGUGAACUUAACCGCUGCACCACUGGGCUGGCCCCAAGAAACCGAUGGUUUUGAAUUGCAUUCUAUGCUCUGGGAAGAACAUUUGGUGAAGUCGCCACAGAGCAAUAUUAGUAAGUGCUGUGUGUCUUCUUUCUCAUAAAUGUCUUCAUUACAAGAUCAUGUAACUGGUACUUCACUAGAGCUUGCUCUGAUGGGUCUCUUCAGCUAAUAAAUCACAUCAUGUUAUGAUUUUCAACUAAUAUAGAGUUAUAAUUCAUCCUGCUCAAUUCAGCUAUGUUUUGGAGGGUAGGUAUGGGAGGGAUAAAAAAAAAAAAAAACAAAUGUUUUUCUUACUCUUUUUCAACUUUCCCAUUUAGUGGUAAAUUUGCUAUCAAAACUUUUGUUGGAAUCCAUCCCAGUCUCAGGUCUUGACACACAGGUCAUGAAAGACUAAGAAAGCAUUAUCACUCUUAGCUGCAAUCCUUUACAGGCAAGUGCAAGAAAGCCAAGAUCUAAAUUCCAGUUUAGAGUCAACGUAACAUUCCACAAAUCCAUGCCAAGAUAAAGGUGGAAAGAUCAAUACUUCUGCUACUCUUUCUGAGGAAGACAGAAACUAAUGGUAGUGGUUCCCAAACUUGUUCACAUUAGAAUCACCUGUCAAAAUUCCAAAACAAGGCCAUAGCUCAGACCAGUCAGUCACAAUCUUUGGGGACAGUUCACAGGAAUUUGUAGUUUUUGAAGCUCCCCCAGGCGAUCUCAAUGUGAAGAUAAAAUUUGGGAACCAUUCAUUUGACAUCACAGAAUUUGCUUUAAUUUAACUGGGGCCAUUGCCCAAGUUUCAAUCCAGGUGUUGGAAAUAUUCCAUCUCCUUUUAGGAAAGGGCGAUCCUCUGAUAAUGAAAAUAUCUGUUUUAUGGUCAACUUAUGGGUACAAAUGAGGCCAGAGAGGUCUCUGUGGUUACUUUGUCUUAAUGAAUGUGAUUUACAGCUGAAAGUAAAAUUGCUCUUUAUGAAAGCCAGGAAAAGUCAACCCAUCCAUCAAGGUCUUCUCCAAUGCGUCUAAUAAUUAUACAGGACAAAUAGGAAAAUACAUGAGAUCAUUUUACAACAGAAGAAAUGAUUUUAAUAUAUAUUUUUAAUGCUUUGUGAUUGAUUCUUAUUUUUGAUUUAAGAUUAUGUUUAUGUAAUAUAAUUAUUAAAAUCCAGCAACAAUCACAAAUGUAAAUCAGGAAGUAAUU